rnacentral:snRNA from 1 species
GGAUGUGAGGGUGAUCUGGUUGCAACAUCUGUCACCCUAUUGAUUGCCAGAAUUGUUUUGGCUGAUCUGGUUGGCUAGGCAGCCUUCCUCCCUCACUGCUCCAUGUGUGUCCCUCAUGAAGUUGUGUGCUUGGUCGAAGAGGAUGACCAUCCCCAAUAGAGGAGGACUGGUCUUCCGUCAAGGGUAUGCAAGUUACUGAGCUCCCCUGAUAGAACCUCCAAACAAGCUCGCAGGAGAAUAUAAGUGAACAGUUAGGGACAAAAAUAAAGUUGCUUAAUGAUUUCAUUACGUGGGUUU